rnacentral:tRNA from 5 species
GGGCCCAUAGUUCAGCUUGGACAGAAUGGCUGCCUGCGGAGCAGUUGGUCGAGGGUUCGAGUCCCUCUGGGCCCG